GACGAACGCUGGCGGCGUGCUUAACACAUGCAAGUCGAACGAUGAAGCCUAGCUUGCUAGGUGGAUUAGUGGCGAACGGGUGAGUAAUACGUGAGUAACCUACCUUUAACUCUGGGAUAAGCCUGGGAAACUGGGUCUAAUACCGGAUACGACCAAUCUCCGCAUGGGGUGUUGGUGGAAAGCGUUAUGUAGUGGUUAUAGAUGGGCUCACGGCCUAUCAGCUUGUUGGUGAGGUAACGGCUCACCAAGGCGACGACGGGUAGCCGGCCUGAGAGGGUGACCGGCCACACUGGGACUGAGACACGGCCCAGACUCCUACGGGAGGCAGCAGUGGGGAAUAUUGCACAAUGGGCGCAAGCCUGAUGCAGCGACGCCGCGUGAGGGAUGACGGCCUUCGGGUUGUAAACCUCUGUUGGCAGGGAAGAAGAGAGAUUGACGGUACCUGCUGAGAAAGCGCCGGCUAACUACGUG
rnacentral:rRNA from 1 species